rnacentral:rRNA from 1 species
UACGAAGGGGGCUAGCGUUGCUCGGAAUCACUGGGCGUAAAGCGCGUGUAGGCGGCCUGACAAGUCAGAUGUGAAAGCCCUCGGCUUAACCGAGGAAGUGCAUUUGAAACUGUCGGGCUCGAGUGCCGGAGAGGGUGGCGGAAUUCCGCAAGUAGAGGUGAAAUUCGUAGACAUGCGGAGGAACACCGGUGGCGAAGGCGGCCACCUGGACGGCAACUGACGCUGAGACGCGAAAGCGUGGGGAGCAAACAGG